AACGAACGUUAGCGGCGCGCUUAACACAUGCAAGUCGAGCGAGAAAGGGCUUCGGCCCCGGUAAAGCGGCGCACGGGUGAGUAACACGUAGGUAAUUUGCCUCUAGGUGGUGGAUAACCUUCCGAAAGGAGGGCUAAUACAGCAUAAGACCACGGUUCCGAAAGGGAUUGGGGUCAAAGCCGGCCUCUUCACGAAAGCUGGUGCCAAGAGAUGAGCCUGCGGCCCAUCAGGUAGUUGGUAGGGUAAUGGCCUACCAAGCCGAAGACGGGUAGCUGGUCUGAGAGGAUGAUCAGCCACACUGGAACUGAGACACGGUCCAGACUCCUACGGGAGGCAGCAGUGGGGAAUCUUGCGCAAUGGGCGAAAGCCUGACGCAGCGACGCCGCGUGAGUGAUGAAGGCCUUCGGUUGUAAGCUCUGUGGAGGGGGGACGGAAUAAAGGGUUGGCGUAAUAUCCAACCUGAUGACGGUACCCCUUUACGCAAGCACCGGCUAACUACUGUGCCAGCAGCCG
rnacentral:rRNA from 1 species